AUGCGUGGAAAGAGAACGAAAAGAGGCUCUGUUCGCAGCUGCAAGCUCCCAAAACAUACUCCUCGGAGGAAGGAAAUCUGGGAGCCUCUUUGCUGCCUGUGCGGCCGCCGCUCCUCCGGCUCCUUGCCGGCAUGCUGCGGGGAGAGCUCCCCGACCUUGCUGCGUUGGCCGUCACAGGCAGGAGCUCCCCGAUCCCCGCCCCUCCCCCACAGGCCCGCCUCAGCUCCAGCCCCGUCGAAUCGCCGCUCCGCUCCCCUGAGGCGAAGAGCCCGCUGUCCCUUGGGCGAGAUUCACCCACCUGCCUCUAUGGGAGAGCUUGAGCAGACGUACCUCGCUGCCGUCGAGGCCACCACGGCCGCCUGCAUGUGUGACGAGGAGGGGGAGGAUCUCCUGGUGGAGCUUGGCAGCAGGAGGGAGUCGGGAGGAGGAGAUCUCACAGAGCCGAUGGUUCCGAGUCCGCACUUAAUCACCGAUUCACCGGAUCUGCAGGUUCAAGAAAACAAGCAUGACAAACCUGUCCUCUGA
rnacentral:rRNA from 1 species